rnacentral:rRNA from 1 species
UACGUAGGGCGCAAGCGUUGUCCGGAAUUAUUGGGCGUAAAGAGCUCGUAGGCGGUCUGUCGCGUCUGCUGUGAAAACUCAGGGCUUAACCCUGAGCUUGCAGUGGGUACGGGCAGACUAGAGUGCGGUAGAGGAGACUGGAAUUCCUGGUGUAGCGGUGAAAUGCGCAGAUAUCAGGAGGAACACCGGUGGCGAAGGCGGGUCUCUGGGCCGUAACUGACGCUGAGGAGCGAAAGCGUGGGGAGCGAACAGG